UGGGGAAUAUUGGACAAUGGGCGCAAGCCUGAUCCAGCCAUGCCGCGUGAGUGACGAAGGCCUUAGGGUUGUAAAACUCUUUUGGCGGGGACGAUAAUGACGGUACCCGCAGAAUAAGCCCCGGCUAACUUCGUGCCAGCAGCCGCGGUAAUACGAAGGGGGCUAGCGUUGUUCGGAAUCACUGGGCGUAAAGCGCACGUAGGCGGACUGAUCAGUUGGGGGUGAAAUCCCAGGGCUCAACCCUGGAACUGCCUUCAAUACUGUCAGUCUUGAGUCCGAGAGAGGUGAGUGGAAUUCCUAGUGUAGAGGUGAAAUUCGUAGAUAUUAGGAAGAACACCAGUGGCGAAGGCGGCUCACUGGCUCGGUACUGACGCUGAGGUGCGAAAGCGUGGGGAGCAAACAGGAUUAGAUACCCCCGUAGUCC
rnacentral:rRNA from 1 species